rnacentral:rRNA from 1 species
AUGCAUGUCUAAGUAUAAGCAACUAUACUGUGAAACUGCGAAUGGCUCAUUAAAUCAGUUAUCGUUUAUUUGAUAGUACCUUACUACUUGGAUAACCGUGGUAAUUCUAGAGCUAAUACAUGCGAAAAACCCCGACUUCGGAAGGGGUGUAUUUAUUAGAUAAAAAACCAACGCCCUUCGGGGCUCUCUGGUGAUUCAUAAUAACUAAACGAAUCGCAUGGCCUUGCGCCGGCGAUGGUUCAUUCAAAUUUCUGCCCUAUCAACUUUCGAUUGUAGAGUAGUGGUCUACAAUGGUUUCAACGGGUAACGGGGAAUUAGGGUUCGACUCCGGAGAGGGAGCCUGAGAAACGGCUACCACAUCCAAGGAAGGCAGCAGGCGCGCAAAUUACCCAAUCCCGACACGGGGAGGUAGUGACAAUAAAUACUGAUACAGGGCUCUUUUGGGUCUUGUAAUUGGAAUGAGUACAAUUUAAAUCCCUUAACGAGGAACAACUGGAGGGCAAGUCUGGUGCCAGCAGCCGCGGUAAUUCCAGCUCCAGAAGCGUAUAUUAAAGUUGUUGCAGUUAAAAAGCUCGUAGUUGAAUUUUGGGCCUGGCUGGCCGGUCCGCCUCACCGCGUGCACUGGUCCGGCCGGGCCUUUCCUCCUGGGGAUCCGCAUGCCCUUUACUGGGUGUGUUGGGGAACCAGGACUUUUACUUUGAAAAAAUUAGAGUGUUCAAAGCAGGCCUUUGCUCGAAUACAUUAGCAUGGAAUAAUAGAAUAGGACGGCUUUCCUAUUUUGUUGGUUUCUAGGGAAGCCGUAAUGAUUAAUAGGGAUAGUCGGGGGCAUCAGUAUUCAAUUGUCAGAGGUGAAAUUCUUGGAUUUAUUGAAGACUAACUACUGCGAAAGCAUUUGCCAAGGAUGUUUUCAUUAAUCAGUGAACGAAAGUUAGGGGAUCGAAGACGAUCAGAUACCGUCGUAGUCUUAACCAUAAACUAUGCCGACUAGGGAUCGGGCGAUGUUACUAUCUUGACUCGCUCGGCACCUUACGAGAAAUCAAAGUUUUUGGGUUCUGGGGGGAGUAUGGUCGCAAGGC